rnacentral:rRNA from 1 species
ACGUAGGACACGAGCGUUAUCCGGAGUUACUGGGCGUAAAGGGCGUGCAGGCGGCAUGGUAAGUCUGAUGUGAAAGCUCCCGGCUCAACCGGGAGAGGACAUUGGAGACUGCCAAGCUCGAGGCAGAUAGAGGGAUGUAGAAUUCCGGGUGUAGUGGUGAAAUGCGUAGAGAUCCGGAGGAAUACCAGAGGCGAAGGCGGCAUCCUGGGUCUGACCUGACGCUGAGACGCGACAGCAUGGGGAGCGAACGGGA